rnacentral:rRNA from 1 species
UUCCGUUGAUCCUGCGGAAGGUUGCUGCUAUUGGAGUUCGACUAAGCCAUGCAAGUUCUCUCUCUUAGGAGGGAUGCGAAAUGCUCAGUAACACGUCAAUAAUCUGCCCUUAGGUCAAGGAUACCCUCGGGAAACUGAAGUUAAGCCUUGAUAGGAGAGUGGUAGUGGAAAGAUUCUUUCUCUUAAAUUCGAGCCUAAGGAUGAGUUGGCGGUGGAUUAGGUUGUUGGUGAGGUAAAGGCUCACCAAGCCGAAGAUCCAUAGGGGCCCUGGGAGGGGUAUCCCCGAGAAGGACACUGAGAUACUGGUCCUAGCCCUACGGGGUGCAGCAGGCGCGAAACCUUUACAAUGCACGCAAGUGUGAUAAGGGAACUCCAAGUGCUUAUGCUUUGCAUAGGCUUUUGUUAAGAGUAAAUAUCUUGACGAAUAAGUGGUGGGUAAGACUGGUGCCAGCAGCCGCGGUAACACCAGCGCCACGAGUGGCAAUCACGAUUAUUGGGCCUAAAGCGUCCGUAGCCGGUUUAAUAAGUCUUUUGUGAAAUCGUUGGGCUUAACUUAACGCUGUGCAAGAGAGACUGUUAGACUUGGAACCGGGAAGGGUCAGAGGUAUUCUUGGGGGAGCGGUAAAAUGCUAUAAUCCCUAGAGGACCACCUGUGGCGAAGGCGUCUGACUAGAACGGCUUCGACGGUGAGGGACGAAAGCUGAGGGAGCAAUCCGGAUUAGAUACCCGAGUAGUCUCAGCUGUAAACGCUGUGAGCUAGGUGUCACACAUUCUUCGGGAAUGUGUGGUGUCGAAAUGAAGAUGCUAAGCUCACCGCCUGCGAAGUAUGGUCGCAAGGCUGAAACUUAAAGGAAUUGGCGGGGGAGCACCACCAGGGGUGCGGCGUGCGGUUUAAUCUAAUUCAACGCAGAGCAUCUCACCAGUAGCGACGGCAGGAUGAAGAUCAGUCUAAAGGGCUUAUCUGACGAGCCGAGAGGUAGUGCAUGGCCGUCGUCAGCUCGUGCCGUAAGGUGUCUUGUUAAGUCAAGCAACGAGCGAGACCUGUACCUACAAUUGCUAACAACUCCUUUAGGAGAUUUGAGCACAUUGUAGGGACUGCUCGGGAAACCGAGAGGAAGGUGCAGGCAACGAUAGGUCUGUAUGCUCCGAAUCUACUGGGCUACACGCGCGCAACAAUGACAAGGACAAUGUGAUGCGACUCUGAAAAGAGAAGCUAAUCCUAGAAACCUUGCCUUAGUUUAGAUUGAGGGCUGUAACUCGCCCUCAUGACACUGGAAUCCCUAGUAAUCAGACGUCAUCAUCGUCUGGUGAAUAUGUCCCUGCUCCUUGUACACACCGCCCGUCAAACCACUCGAGCAGGGUCUAGGUGAGACUUGGUUUUUAAUUAAGCCGAACCUAGGCUCAGUGAGAUGGGUUAAGUCGUCACAAGGUA